AAGUCACGCUGCAGGGGUAAUUUGCCCUUUAAGCCUAGUUCUCAUUCAUCGCAAACCGUCGGCGAUGGGAGCUUUGCGACGUCGGCGACCGCUUGCCAUUUAUGAGAACACAUCAAAAAUUAUAUCGCGGAUUGUCCGUAAUCGUCGCCGACCAUCGGCGAUGACAUUGCAGGAAACAAAAAAGUUUGUUUCUUGCGACCAUCGCCGACUGCCACCUGCUUGAAAAAUCUAUGAGAAAUGAGUAAAAGUUGUUUUUCCUCAACAAGCAAGGAAAUAUAUUAUGAACUGAAGUUUGACAGAAAUCAUGAACUAUGGGCAGCCGUUACCAACAAAAAUAGUAAAGUCGCUAAAUGGCAUAGCAAAAUGUGAAAUAUAUCGACAAAAUGUAAUUGAUUUAACCAAAAUUAAAAGCGAUUGAUCUCUUACACUGAAAUGACACAUAUAAAACAUCAAUGGUUCGACCUAAUUUCGAAUGGAUUGAUAACGCAUAGCUAAAUGGAUCAACGUAUUCCACAUUGAUUCAAUAAAAUGCGAAAUGGCUCAACGAAUUGUGUCGCAGUUCAAUGAAUUUUCAAAUGGCUUACGUCCGCGUCGUCAAAUGGAACAGCUAGAAAUGCGAAACGGCUUGUUCGCAUGAAAUAGCUCGUUGCAAAAUAGUCCCUGUCAGUGUUAAAUAGCUUGUCUGUGUGAAAUAGCUUUCUGUGUGUAAUAGCUCGUUGUUAA